rnacentral:rRNA from 1 species
GUCCACGCCCUAAACGAUGUCAACUAGUUGUUGGUAGAGUAAAAUCUAUGAGUAACGCAGCUAACGCGUGAAGUUGACCGCCUGGGGAGUACGAUCGCAAGAUUAAAACUCAAAUGAAUUGACGGGGGCCCGCACAAGCGGUGGAUUAUGUGGAUUAAUUCGAUGCAACGCGAAAACCUUAACCUGGCCUUGACAUGUACGGAACUUGCCAGAGAUGGCUUGGUGCUCGAAAGAGAACCGUAACACAGGUGCUGCAUGGCUGUCGU